AGCUCUUGCUUCAGUGGUUGGGAGCAAAACCUUCGUGUUCGAGGUCGGGAGUUCGAACCUUACCUCUUACAAAUAUUUUUGGAUCUCGUAUAUGCUUGAUAUACGGACGUAUAUACGGUAUGUACGGUAUACAUAAGUAUAUACGGUCUGUACGGUAUGCAUAAGUAUAUACAGUUGUAUGGUAUGCAUACGUAUAUACGGUCUGUACGGUAUGUAUACGUAUAUACGGUAUGUACAAUUUCAUACCGUAGCCGAGCUAAAAAGUUGUGGGCCGAUUGGUAGGCCCAAAUAGUAAGCCCAAUUGUUCGGCCGAUUUGUAGGCCCAAAUAGUAAGCCCAAUUGUUCGGCCGAUUGGUAGGCACAAAUAGUAAGCCCAAUUGUUCGGCCCGAAUGGUAGGCCCAAAUGUUAAGCCCAAUUGUUCGGCCCAAAUGGUAGGCCCAAAUGUUAAACCCAAAUUGGUUCGGGCCGGUUCGAAAUGUGGAUGGUUCGGUUUCUUCGGCCCAAUUGGCCAGCCCUGAUGCUUAGCCCAAGGAUUGAGCAAGCCCAAGUCAUCAUCACUGGGUGUCAGAUUUUAUUGGCAUGCUUUUGGGGAUGAUUUGUUUUGAGUGAUGCAUCUCUAUUGUUGUGUAGAAUAGUGCAUGCUUAAGUUUUACUAUAGAGAAUUACCGUGAUGCUAAUUGAGUAGCGAAACGCUUUGUGAGAAUGUUUACUGUGCUUGUAUGCCAGUACAGGAUGAUGAUCUAUGUGAAGAUCUAUGUGAUGAUCUAUGAGAUGAUCUAUGUGAAGAUCUAUGUGAGGAUCCAUGUGGUGAUUUUGUGUGAGUUUACUUUUGUGAUGAAAGAAUUUGUGGCCUUAGGAAUGUAUUUUUAUACAAAGGGCUGUGGCUUUGUAGAUUACUACAGCUUUGGAAAGGAUGGAGAUUCGAUGGUUAGGUUAACCGUAAUCGAGAGCAAUUAACUUGCGCUUAAAUUUCGGGACGAAAUUUCUUUAAGGAGGGUGGAUUGUAAUACCCGAAAAAUUCAAGUUAAUUUCCGAUGACGUUUUGGAAAUGAUUUCGUGGUCGUGGACACGAGUACGAAGCUUAGAGGAGUGUGGAAUUAGUUCGAACGAUUUUAUUUUGAAAACUGAACGUUUUAGGGGGGUCAAAGGAGUUGACUUUUUAUACAUUGGGAAAUUGGGAAAACUUCCUUCAUGAAAGUUGUAGAGCGCGUCGAUACGAGUUCGUGGACAUAUGGAACGUAAUAUUCGGAGUUCGUAUGAAUAAGUUACGAAUAUUUGAAAAUUGGGAUUUUCUAUAAAUAUGAAAAAAAAUCCGAAUAUUGCAAAUGAGGACAGAAUUUCUGGAACUCCAGAAAUUUCUCCCCAUUUCUCUCCCGAGCCCAGCCGCGACCCCCUCCCUUCGUCACCUUCGUUCUUCCUCAUCCGGCCACCGAUUGAUGUGAAACAAAGUGGGUUUUUCUGGUCUCGACCCCCUUUACGAGUUUGUAGAAGAAAUCGAAGUGAAAUACGAGCUGUAUGAGGCUCUACAAGGUCGAGAAGAGAGCCUCGUCGGAGACGAAAUCGCUCUUCCCCACUUUUUCUGGGCUCUACUUUGUCUGGCCAUAUCUUCCUCUACAGGCCUCCGAUCGACCUGAUUCCAAAAGCAAUUUUUCUCACCGUGAAGUUUUCUACAACUUUCCAGAAGACAUCGACUUGAGAUAACCAUCGUGGUGGCCGCUAGAAGACCGAGAAGCCGCACAGCCGAGCUGGAAAUCGUCUUCCUUCGCCACCUUGGUUCUCCCAGCUCCGGCCACUAUAGCUCGAGUUCUUUGAGGGCUUUUCUAGCCCAGAGGAAGUAGAAGCUAUCCCCAAGAAGGCUUGCAGCGAUUUGAUCCGGGGUGAUCGAAUUUUGAAGAUUGGGAAACUAGGGUUCUUCGGGUUUCAAAACUUGCGAGGUGAUUGACGGUCUCCCUUGGGUGAACGAUUUCGGUGUGUAUUGUGUUGAAUUGAAGACGCAGCGGGAAUAUCGAGGUGAGUAAAUCGCACAUGGUUCAUUCACGAACCGAAAUUCGGUGAUUUUAUUUAAUUGAGAAAUUGUGGAAAUUGUUUUACUAAAAUAAAUAUUUGUUUUAAAUUAUAUGGACUUGAUCGACUACGGUCCAUAGGUAAGUAAAAUGUAUUUAAACUAUAAAAAUGAAUUUCUAGAUUUUAUUGCAUGUGAACUAUAGUUGGUAUUAGUGGUCACUCUUGUGUGGGUGACUACGUAUAUAUAUAUUUACGUGGAAUAUAUAUUGGAUGGUGUGAUUUACUGAGUUA